UGCAGUCGAGCGGUACAGAUCCAGCUUGCUGGAUGCUGACGAGCGGCGGACGGGUGAGUAAUGCAUAGGAAUCUGCCCGGUAGUGGGGGAUAACCUGGGGAAACCCAGGCUAAUACCGCAUACGUCCUACGGGAGAAAGGGGGCUUCGGCUCCCGCUAUCGGAUGAGCCUAUGUCGGAUUAGCUAGUUGGUGAGGUAACGGCUCACCAAGGCCACGAUCCGUAGCUGGUCUGAGAGGAUGAUCAGCCACAUCGGGACUGAGACACGGCCCGAACUCCUACGGGAGG
rnacentral:rRNA from 1 species